UGCAGGAUACGUAUGGAAGGAGGUGGACAGCGAUUGAUUCUGAAGCUCCAGGCUUGUCCUUUGCUAUCAGUCUGAGUGUAUACACCCUGCAUGAUGGACUUAACUUCACGGGAUGGGCAAGUAACAUGGACAGAUUUCUUUAAGACAGUAAUUUCAAUGCUGUUGGACUUCAGGGCAAUUUGAUAUGAAACCAGCGCCUGGUGACUAAAGUGUCUUACAGUUGUAUAGACAAUGGCCUGGUAUUCACUAAAAGUCUGGUAGGCCAAAACUCCAAGGAACACCAAGGGAUUUGGGUGGUUGACAUGAAAUACUUCUGGAAAGUUGACAUACAUCCAAGGUUGUCCUACGGUGGGACCUGCUGAAGUCCAUUUAAACUAUUUUUAACAGCCUUUUGCUUAAUUAAUUUAUGCAUGCAGCUUUUAUAAGGUCAUGUUAAUUUAGAUACUUACAUGUUGUAUUUGUGCAUUUAAAAAUGUAAUUGUCUUUGUCACACCACAUGACCAUUUCAAUUGAACUAGUGGAGGCUAAAACGUAAUUAGAAGUGGUGAAAAGUAUCUAAAAUAUACACUUUCCCUACAUUCACUUAAAAGUUGAACCCAAAAUCUUUAUGCUGUUUUAAAAUGAAAUGUUCAUGGACAUGUUAUGCGUCUAUAUCUACCCAUAUUCCUUGAUAUAUCAAUCAUUUGAGUUGUACCUAAAACAAUAUCCUUCACAGGUUUGAUUGGAAUUGUACUCCCUACAUUAACUGGGGCGAACUUUGCAGAUCUGCUUGUGUUCACGAGUAACGAUAAAGAGGAAGAAAUACUUCUAUGCAUUUAAACUCCAAUUGUAUUCCUGUUUGAAACUUUUGAUGUUGCUUUUGGUGUGCUUAACGGAUCCCAUUGCUUGUUGAGGCCACAUACUUCCUUAUAUCCCCAUAUUCAGAAUCAAUCUAUGGAAUGUAAGGAAGUGUGUGGUCUUGGGGAGACAUCAACAUCAUCAUGUACUCUAUAUGUUAAAUAUGGCACCCUUGCCAUAUAUGAUCAUUAUCAUCCUAAAGCAUCACAUUGUGAAAUGUUUUUGGGAGAAUCAACUGUCAUAACCUCUUAGAUACAAACAAAUAACCAUACAAAUGUUGUUUAUGUCCUUUCUAAAGGUUAUGUCAAAGUACAUGGGUUGACUCACAUCUAGUUGAGGUCCCUCUGUGAUAUUCUAAACGGGCCGGCAGAAACUGAGUGACAGCCCACAGGUGCUGCCCACGAGCAGUAUUUACUCUUAUAAAUAGUCGGACAGGUGCCGCCAAGCUAAUUCUGGAGGGCCAUUUCUGUGAGGACAUACCGGAACAUCUAUUAACACUUUCCAUGUCAUUGUCCAGAGAAAGAAGAACAUAAUCUGGAUGGGAUUCAUCUGCUUUGAGAGCCAAAAAUGAGAUGGUCCUAGAUUCUAAACAAAAAUGGAGACAAUAAAAAAAAGACUUCUAGGACCGUAUUACAGAAUCCUUUUAUGUCUUAAGCUGAGAUCUGACAAGUUCAAAGGACGGUUCACCCAAAAAAUCAAUAAUCAUUUACUCACCCUCAUGUCGUUCCAAACCUAUACGACUUGCUUCCGUGGAACACAAAAGGAGAUGUUAGGCAGAAUGAAAGCCCCAGUCACCAUUCACUUUCAUUGUAUGGAAAAAAUAUGCAAUAAAAUUGAAUGGUGACUGAAGGCUCGGGUGUACUUUGUUUUUCUGCGUUCCGGAUCAGAUCGCGCCCGGUCGACUGUGUUGCCUUUCAAAAUAUACUCUUUUGACCACAAGCAAAUACAAAUGGUUUGACACAUGCGCAUUAUGACUGUCCACGUGCUGCCUAGAUUUUCUUGACACCAGCGCAGACUGUGCUGAUGACACAAUUUGCGUCACGCAUACUGUGCACGGAGUGAUCAGCAAGGCGGACAUCCAAAGUAUACCUUGGCCUUGAGACUAACAUACUGACUAUCACCUUCUUUUUUGUUCCACAGAAGGAAGAAAGUAAAGGUUUGGAACGACAUGAGGGCGAGUAAACCCAGACAGCACACGUACAUCUCCAGACGUCUGUUUAAGAGCAUUUCAUCAGGAAAAAGCGCUGAUUUACAAACAUUCGAAACCUCUCAAAGACAUCUGCUGAACGUCGUUUUGACAUCAGCGAGGAAAUGUAUUGCAGAUACAGACUGCAGAACAUAACGUCUUCCAGACUAAUUAAAUCUCAUAUGGGUGAUUUACGUGCGCUAUCAGGAAAACAAUGACAAAUAUUUUUUUGGGUGAACUAUUCCUUAUAAUAGAACAUGAAUAAGUACUAACUGAAUUCACCGUGGUUAAUAACAGAUCAAAUAGGAUUCUAGAGUUAAAAUGUUUCUCUAAUAUACAUUAUUCAAAGAAGCGCGCCAUCUUUGAUUUUUGACGGGAAUGAAAACGAGGCUAUGCGCGACGCAUGCGCUCCUAGAUCACAUCUAAUUUUCACAACUCGUGUUUUCCGGAGUAUUUUGUCUAAUUAAAAACUUCCAUAAAAUUGUAUUUAAAGUUUUGUGUCCGCUGAAUGUUCAGCACCAUUGUUGAAUGUUAUCCCUCACAGCCUCGUCACUUCCGUCAUAAAUCAUAUAUGGCGCUACUCUCUGUCUAAAAGGCCCUAGAAGGCCUCCACUUUUGAUAUCAGAAUCAGAAUGAGCUUUAUUGUCAAGUAUACUUACAUAUACAAGGAAUUUGUCUUGGUGACAGAAGCUUCCAGUGCACUAACAAUACAAGACAGAGAGAAUACAAAAAUAGAAUAAAAGUAAAAAGUGAAUAGUAAAUAUAAGUAUGUACAUAUAGAAAUACACAAUUAGACAAUAUAUUCAUAUAUGUAUGUACAAUAUACAAAUCUGUUAUAUACAGAUAAUGCAAGGGAAUGUAAUGGCAGAAGAGGUUGGAUAUGCUGGAUAAAUAUAAAUGGACUAAGCUGUGUAUUGCACAUAAUUAUUGCUAAAUGGGGCAGUUUUAACUGUUCAUGAGAUGGAUAGCCUGUUCCUGUGCCUGACAGUUCUGGUGCUCAGAGCUCUGAAGCGUCGGCAAGAAGGCAACAGUUCAAAAAGGUAGUGGGCAGGGUGAGUGGGGUCCAGAGUGAUUUUUCCAGCCCUUUUCCUCACUCUGGAAGUGUAUAGUUCUUGGAGGGUGGGCAGGGGGCAACCAAUAAUCCUCUCAGCCGUCCGAACUGUUCUUUGUAGUCUUCUGAUGUCUGAUUUCAUAGCUGCAUCAAACCAGACAGUUCUUGAAGUGCAGAGGACAGACUCAAUGACCAGUAGAACUGUAUCAGCAGCAUAUGAGAUUCAGUGUUAUAAAGACAGAUAUCUCCAUGAGAAAUGUUGAUGUGUGAAUAGCAUUGACGGGCAUGAAAUUUCCUUCUCACCUCUGUAAAUAUGAUGAUGAAUUUAGUAGACAAACAACCACGUCUUAGUUGCUGGUAAAACGGAACCAAGUCAGGUGUUUCAGAGAGGUUUGGUCCCUUUCAACCAGCUACUGCGCCGUGAAUUCAGCCAGCAACAUGAAACAUCUCAUUCUCACUUGAAACAACAUUACAAGUGCAAUAAACAAGUGGACUGCUUCUAAAACGACAAAAGAAUAUAAACAUCCGUACCUCAAGAGAGAUCCAAAUUUGACCUGUCAAAAUUACAUUCUUCAUCCAGAGAUGUGCAUAUUAGCAAUCAUAUUUAACAUCAAUAAUAAAAUAUUUCAAGUCUCUCUGUAAAAGCUCUAUUCUGCUCUCUACAGGAAAGCACUGGAAAAUGCUUGUGAAAUUAACCAUAAACUAUUUUUAGGCAGAGCAAAAGUAAACAAUAUGCUGUAUCUGAGGCUUACUUUAUAAUAACUUGUAUAUCAAUAUCACAUUAGUAAGCGUGCCAUUUUACUAAAUGUCAGCAGGGAACUAGCUGUUGUAUAAACAUUUAUACUCUCUUCAUCAAAUAAAAUUACACUACGCAUCUGUUUUUAAUAAAAAGCUAAAAACAUCUUUAUUAUGAAAACCAAAGGCCACUCGACAGUUAUUCGGAUAAACAAUCUGUGUACAAAUAUCAGAAAGCUAAUGAAACCCACAAAAAAUACAGUACGUGAAGAUAUUACAUCAUAUGGCAAACCAAAUAUCAUGUAAUUCAGUUCUGUGCAUGUAAUUGAUUUACUCCCUGAUUGCACUGAACUGUAUGUUCUUGAUGUGUAUAUUUCAGAAUGACUGCCAGUUCUCUGUAACAGAAUGAAAUCUGACCAAUCUGUAUCAUAAUGACAUGCGUGCGCAACGAUGUUUCUUUUUUAAAGUGAUCUGUUAACACAACUCUUGAAACACAUUGCUCACAUCUGUUUUAAUAAAGUCUCAUUUCAAAGUGUGCUCUGUGCCUGCCUUUGACUUAAUGAACAGGUUUGCACAGCUGAAACAAAAAUAAAUAGAAACCAAAUGUGUGAGAUAUUUAAACCUUCACUGGUUUUCAUAAGGUUACAUUGCAAGGAGAAGAUUUUACAGUAGAUAACACACUUUAAUAUGAAUUAAACUGUACGUCAUUUCAUUUGAAAGUCAAACAAAGACACACACACACACACACACACCACAUAAGGGGGAAUCUCACAACAUAUGCAGGUCAUAUUACACCCCAAAUACAUGAGAGAAAAAUAUAUCUAUAUUAUGCAUAAUUUUGAUUGAACCUUUUUUUGGGCCAUAAUUUUCUUUAUAUUUUGACAUUAUUUCCAUGACAAUUUAGCAUUUUAACCCCACAUUCUCAUUACUAUAAUGUGAAACACACACACACACACACACACACACACACACACACACACACACACACACACACACACACA